rnacentral:snoRNA from 1 species
AUCCCAUGGUGGGGACAUUCUUCAAUGUAAUCUUGAAAACGCUCCGAUGCCUCAUGAAUGAUUCAUCAUGUUGUUGCUGAAAACUUGAAAUUUCCCAUGUAGAGCAU